rnacentral:lncRNA from 1 species
CAGUCUUACUUUCAGAGUGUUCUCUAAAGCUGUUGUUACGUUUACAAAUUAAGGAGUCAGGGAAUUGUUAUUGCACUACUAUGUUCUAAAGGUGGACAAAACAGAUGGAAGAUUGAUGCUGGCAUUAUGCAUGAGCCACGAGGUAUAUGUUCUUCUCAUGUUUAAUUUCCAAGAUAACUCAACGUCUUAUAUAAGCAUUUUUAUGCCAGGAUGAAUUGUCUGAAGAGCAUGUCGUUUCUGGGUGAUUCUAGAAUUCAUUACAACUAGAAAAGCCAGAGAAACUAGCCUGCAUGUCUAUAUAAUUAAGCACUUACAUGUCCAUGUAUUUUUCAAUAACUACUUGC